UGCGAGUCUUUGUAGUAAUACAAGGCAGACGGCUCAGUAACACGUAGUCAACCUACCCUAUGGACAAGAAUAAUCUCGGGAAACUGGGCAUAAUUCUUGAUAGAUCAUAAUGCCUGGAAUGGUUUAUGGUUAAAAUGAUUCGUCGCCAUAGGAUGGGACUGCGGCCUAUCAGCUUGUUGGUGAGGUAAUGGCCCACCAAGGCGAUUACAGGUACGGGCUCUGAGAGGAGAAGCCCGGAGAUGGGUACUGAGACACGGACCCAGGCCCUAUGGGGCGCAGCAGGCGAGAAAACUUUGCAAUGUGCGAAAGCACGACAAGGUUAAUCCGAGUGAUUUCUGCUAAAGAAAUCUUUUGCCAGUCAUAAAACCACUGGUGAAUAAGGGGUGGGCAAGUUCUGGUGUCAGCCGCCGCGGUAAAACCAGCACCUCAAGUGGUCAGGAUGAUUAUUGGGCCUAAAGCAUCCGUAGCCGGCUUUGUAAGUUUUCGGUUAAAUCCAUGUGCUCAACGCAUGGGCUGCCGAAAAUACUGCAUGGCUAGGGAGUGGGAGAGGUAGACGGUACUCAGUAGGAAGGGGUAAAAUCCUUUGAUCUAUUGAUGACCACCUGUGGCGAAGGCGGUCUACCAGAACACGUUCGACGGUGAGGGAUGAAAGCUGGGGGAGCAAACCGGAUUA
rnacentral:rRNA from 1 species